rnacentral:rRNA from 1 species
AAUGAACGCUGGCGGCAUGCCUAACACAUGCAAGUCGAACGAAGGCUUCGGCCUUAGUGGCGCACGGGUGCGUAACGCGUGGGAAUCUGCCCUUGGGUUCGGAAUAACAGUUAGAAAUGACUGCUAAUACCGGAUGAUGUCGUAAGACCAAAGAUUUAUCGCCCAAGGAUGAGCCCGCGUAGGAUUAGCUAGUCGGUGGGGUAAAGGCCCACCAAGGCGACGAUCCUUAGCUGGUCUGAGAGGAUGAUCAGCCACACUGGGACUGAGACACGUCCGAGACUCCUACGGGAGGCAGCAGUGGGGAAUAUUGUACAAUGGGCGAAAGCCUGAUCCAGCAAUGCCGCGUGAGUGAUGAAGGCCUUAGGGUUGUAAAGCUCUUUUACCCGUGAUGAUAAUGACAGUACCGGGAGAAUAAGCUCCGGCUAACUUCGUGCCAGCCGCCGCCGUAA